rnacentral:rRNA from 1 species
AUUGAACACUGGCGGAAUGCUUUACACAUGCAAGUCGAACGGCAGCACGGACUUCGGUCUGGUGGCGAGUGGCGAACGGGUGAGUAAUGUAUCGGAACGUGCCCAGUCGUGGGGGAUAACGUAGUGAAAAUUACGCUAAUACCGCAUACGAUCUCUGGAUGAAAGCGGGGGAUCGCAAGACCUCGCGCGAUUGGAGCGGCCGAUAUCAGAUUAGGUAGUUGGUGGGGUAAAGGCCCACCAAGCCAACGAUCUGUAGCUGGUCUGAGAGGACGACCGGCCACACUGGAACUGAGACACGGUCCAGACUCCUACGGGGGGCAGCAGUGGGGAAUUUUGGACAAUGGGCGAAAGCCUGAUCCAGCCAUUCCGCGUGCAGGAUGAAGGCCCUCGGGUUGUAAACCGCUUUUGUACAGAACGAAAAGGUUUCUACUAAUACUAGGAGCUCAUGACGGUACUGUAAGAAUAAGCACCGGCUAACUACGUGCCAGCCGCCGCCGUAA